GGGGACGGAGGGAGGAGUGAGAGCAGCCGACGGCUGCUCAGGGCCGGCGACGGCGACGGCGACGGCUCGGCGGCAAGCCGCCGCCUUUUCUUUUUUCUGUCAGACAUUGGGAGGAGAGGAGAAAGAUUAAUUGAGUUUUAGAUUUAGAAAAGAGAGAAAAGGGGAAUAAGUAGGAAAGGGGAAAGGACUUAUCUUCUCCGGCAGAGACGGCGGCGACGCGGCGGAAGCAGCGGCACGAGCGGCGGCCCUUCGGGAUGCCGUUGCUCGACCGGCCGAGGGGGAGAAAGAAGAGCAGGCAGCGGUGCUGUUGAGGUCGUCGCGGCGGCACUGUGGUCGCCGGGGUGACUGCCCACCGCGAGCAGGAAGAGAGAGAGAGAUACCGAGAGGGGAUGGGCCGUGAGGAGGCGCGGCUGCCGUCGAUUCACCGGGACAGGAGCAGGACGACGGCGAUAUGCCGGACCUUCGCCGAUCUCGGGCGGCGGCGGCAGAAACGAGGAGAGGGAGAGAGAUGAGCUGUGUGUGUGUGCGUUUCUUGAAGUGAGAGGGAGAGACGUGAGAGAGGCGAGAGAGAUGAGUGUUGUGUGUGCUGAGUGUGUGUGUUUGUGUAUAUAUGUUAGUAUUAGAUUUUUUUUUUUAAUUUGGGCUUAAGCCCUAUAAUGAGGAUGGGCCGAAAAUUUUAAAAAAAAAAGAGUGGGCCGAUUUUAUUUUAUUUCUGUUGGGCCCAUUUUGCCUUUAAAUCUGAUGGGUUUUUAUUUAAUAGGUUUAGGCCCAAUUUUAAUUAAGUUUUGAGCUGUUAUUUAAAUAUAGGCCUACGAAUUUUGGCCUUAAUUCUAUAAAAAAAAAUGUUUGAUUUUUCACUAAAUUAUUUAGUGAAUUUAAAUCUCUUGAUUUAAAUUUUAAUAUUGGGAGUUGGAUUAUUUAUUCUAAAUGAAGUCCAUUCUAUUAUUUAAAUUAUUAAUGGACUUUAAAGCAAAUAUUUUGGGAUUAAGCCCCAUUUAUUACAUGAUAAAAUUAUUUUCAAAGCUUACGAGUAUGGAUUUUUUUUAAUGGUUAAAAUGUUUUAUUUCAUCUCAAUGGAUUUUAAAAUGUUUUAUUAUUUAUAAAUGAAUAAUGGAAUUUCUUAUUUAUUUACAUAAAAAAAAAUGAAAUGUAUAGAAUAUUAUAAAUAUGGUUUCUUUUAAAAGAAAAAGGAUUAAAUUAUUUUAUGAGUAAUUCCAUUAUAAUGGAAUUAAAAUGUCCUAUUAGAAUGGCUUCAUGUUUUAAAAAAAUAUUGAGACUAUUUAUGUGGAAUUGUGUUAUAGAAUGAUUAAGUAUAUGUAUUUACUUUAUCAAAUGAGCUUGGGAUUUAAUUGAGAUAUUAAAUUGCUAAGCAUAUGUUUAUAAAUGAUUUAUUUAUUUAAAGUGAUGAAAAUGUGNUUUGAAUCCGUUUGUAGAUUUAAAGGAUUAUUGAGUAGUCAAUAAUUAUUAUUUUCGGAUUAUAACUGACUUAGCAAAGUCAUGUUAUUUAAUUUAUAUACGAUAGAAAUAGUAUUUUCUAUUAUUUAAUUGAAGUCAUGAUUAAUUUUUCGACUUAUAAAACGAGUUAUAAAAUAUGUAAUUUGUAGAGAGUUAUAACGAAGCUUCGUUAUAUGGAAACCCGGAAUUAGUAUUACAAAUACGUUAUCAUAUACUUUUCAUUUCCACAUACAUCUAUCUCUUAAAUAAAUUGAUGGUAUUGGAAACACUCAUCAUAUGCAAAUUAUUCCACUAAUUCCACUAAUUCCACUAAACACUCUUUACACUCAUCAUUGCCGGCCAUCUUCUACACUCAUUCCACUAAUAAUCAUUAUUCCACUACCUCCCACUACUACACCCUUUUUCCCCACCAAUACACCUAACUCUCCACACACUUCAUUUUUUUUAUUUCUACACCACUAUAUUCCAUAUUCAGUACUACAUCUUGCAGAUUCCUCAUUAAGAAAUCCUCUCUCUCUAAUCUUCUAAAUUACCAUUUUCUUUCCUCCUACUCCUCACGGGUCCUUCAAAGAAAUUAUCAAGUUUGUUUCAAGUUCCAAAUCAAGAAUCAAGGUGUGUAAAUUUUGUUUAUUUCCUCCAUUUAAUUUUUCGAGGAUUACAUUCUAACACCUAGCAUCAUUUAUGCAGAAGCCACAAAUCCUCAUCUGCCUCUUCAAGGUUAUUUCCAGCAUAAACAACUUCUUUUAGAUUAUUAUUGCUUCAAUUACAUCAUCUUAUCAAGCAUCAGAGGACCACCAACAAACAAACACACACUCAUAAUCAUUAUUUUCACCUAACUAUUACAAUUACAAGGAUUUCAAGAUCUGAUAAAAAGAAAUGAUGAAAGAACAGAAUUUCUAAACAAAAACCCUAACUUUCUAUAUGUGAAUCUGGACUGAAAUUGAGCCUUCUUGUGUCUUUAUUGUGUGUGACCGGGGACGGAGGGAGGAGUGAGAGCAGCCGACGGCUGCUCAGGGCCGGCGACGGCGACGGCUCGGCGGCAAGCCGCCGCCUUUUCUUUUUUCUGUCAGACAUUGGGAGGAGAGGAGAAAGAUUAAUUAAGUUUUAGAUUUAGAAAAGAGAGAAAAGGGGAAUAAGUAGGAAAGGGGAAAGGACUUAUCUUCUCCGGCAGAGACGGCGGCGACGCGGCGGAAGCAGCGGCACGAGCGGCGGCCCUUCGGGAUGCUGUUGCUCGACCGGCCGAGGGGGAGAAAGAAGAGCAGGCAGCGGUGCUGUUGAGGUCGUCGCGGCGGCACUGUGGUCGCCGGGGUGACUGCCCACCGCGAGCAGGAAGAGAGAGAGAGAUACCGAGAGGGGAUGGGCCGUGAGGAGGCGCGGCUGCCGUCGAUUCACCGGGACAGGAGCAGGACGACGGCGAUAUGCCGGACCUUCGCCGAUCUCGGGCGGCGGCGGCAGAAACGAGGAGAGGGAGAGAGAUGAGCUGUGAGUGUGUGUGUGCGUUUCUUGAAGUGAGAGGGAGAGACGUGAGAGAGGCGAGAGAGAUGAGUGUUGUGUGUGCUGAGUGUGUGUGUUUGUGUAUAUAUGUUAGUAUUAGGUUUUUUUUAAAUUUGGGCUUAAGCCC
rnacentral:lncRNA from 1 species